rnacentral:rRNA from 1 species
AUUGAACGCUGGCGGCAGGCCUAACACAUGCAAGUCGAGCGGUAGAGAGGUGCUUGCAUCUCUUGAGAGCGGCGGACGGGUGAGUAAUGCCUAGGAAUCUGCCUAGUGGUGGGGGAUAACGUUCGGAAACGGACGCUAAUACCGCAUACGUCCUACGGGAGAAAGCGGGGGAUCUUCGGACCUCGCGCCAUUAGAUGAGCCUAGGUCGGAUUAGCUAGUUGGUGAGGUAAUGGCUCACCAAGGCGACGAUCCGUAACUGGUCUGAGAGGAUGAUCAGUCACACUGGAACUGAGACACGGUCCAGACUCCUACGGGAGGCAGCAGUGGGGAAUAUUGGACAAUA